rnacentral:rRNA from 1 species
UACGUAGGGCGCGAGCGUUAAUCGGAAUUACUGGGCGUAAAGCGUGCGCAGGCUGUUCUGUAAGUCAGAUGUGAAAUCCCCGAGCUCAACUUGGGAACUGCGUUUGAAACUACAGGACUAGAAUAUGUCGAGAGGGGGGUAGAAUUCCACGUGUAGCAGUGAAAUGCGUAGAGAUGUGGAGGAAUACCAAUGGCGAAGGCCAGCCCCCUGGGAUAAUAUUGACGCUCAUGCACGAAAGCGUGGGGAGCAAACAGG